rnacentral:lncRNA from 7 species
ACUUUCCCUUCGUCUUUUGCAGCUCCACCAGCAGAACCCUUGUCAGCUCCUGAGCCAACAUCCAAAUGCUUUCCUAACGCUUGGCUACCUUAGAGAACAGCAAUGCUGAACCCUGAGAAGCAAUCAGAGGGCUGCUUUGACUUGGAAGUUACGAGGCAACAGAUAAGAAGCAAGAAAACAUCUUCGGACACAGAGUAUCCUACUUCCAGUGUGAUUUGGUUCCUCAUGCUUUACCAUGUCUAAUUAGGGUUUUACGGGAUGCUGCCAAACCCCAUCUCUCUCCACUCCCUGUGAAGCCCCUGCUGCAAUGGUCACCACACGACAAGGAGACAGCCCCCUGUAAAACACAACUGCAAGCCAUACAGACCGUUUACAUGUCUCAGAGAUCGCAUUUGUGCAGAGGUCCUGCAGAAGGGAGAUCCUGAAUGUUGGACCCUGUUGGUGGAAUGUCAUUAAUCAGAGGGUAAUGGACAGGAAGGUGGGUGGCUGCUGAUAGUUUUGGCUCAUUUAAGACAGUUUGGGAAGGCUGCCAGAUUGUGUGGAGAGUUUUGGGGAUGUUUUGAACAAUACCGUCUUUACAGUGCCAUAAAAUGGUGGGGUGGUUCGCAUAGGUUUCCAACUGGCUCCUGGCCAGUGCAACCUCAGGAUUCCACUCAGCUGUGACCUGGGCUCCAGGGCGCCUACAGUGUCCCAGGUCACCCCUUGCCUCUUCCCUUGGGUUUCUGCACUAUUAGGAGGGAGAAAACAUCUGUGAUGCCCCAGCUUCUGCUGAACCUCAGUGUCCUUCUCAUAACAAGCUUUGCUACUGCAGCUAUUUCUCCCUUGUAGUUCAUGGGGAGAUUCUGCUCUUCAUGCAAAGAUGACACGUUGUGUAAUACUGAAAUAAAUCAGUGCAUUUAUAAACAGGUAGGGCUAAGUCUUACAGGGAGGGUUAAAUCUUCCAUCGUAUUUUCGGCUGGGCUCCAAAAUCUGUCUUGCCACGAAGGGAAAUGCUGUGUCAUGAAGGGCAGACAGAUGCUUGUAGGAACAUAAAGUACAUGCAGAACGUCUACAGUUCUCUCAGGUAAAGAAAUAUUCUUGGUGUUGAGCUUCUGCUCUGU